GAUGAACGCUGGCGGCGUGCCUAAUACAUGCAAGUCGAGCUAACAGACGAGGAGCUUGCUCCUCUGACGUUAGCGGCGGACGGGUGAGUAACACGUGGAUAACCUACCUAUAAGACUGGGAUAACUUCGGGAAACUGGAGCUAAUACCGGAUAAUAUAUUGAACCGCAUGGUUCAAUAGUGAAAGACGGUUUUGCUGUCACUUAUAGAUGGAUCCGCGCCGCAUUAGCUAGUUGGUAAGGUAACGGCUUACCAAGGCAACGAUGCGUAGCCGACCUGAGAGGGUGAUCGGCCACACUGGAACUGAGACACGGUCCAGACUCCUACGGGAGGCAGCAGUAGGGAAUCUUCCGCAAUGGGCGAAAGCCUGACGGAGCAACGCCGCGUGAGUGAUGAAGGUCUUCGGAUCGUAAAACUCUGUUAUUAGGGAAGAACAAAUGUGUAAGUAACUAUGCACGUCUUGACGGUACCUAAUCAGAAAGCCACGGCUAACUACGUG
rnacentral:rRNA from 1 species